rnacentral:snRNA from 1 species
AACCGUCAUAUAGGGUAAUCAUUA